rnacentral:rRNA from 1 species
AUGGAGGCCGCGCGCGAGGAGGACGGUGGCGGCCGCGGCGACGACAAGCUGCUGCAGGUGGUGUUCGACCGCAUCCUUCGGCGUCAGGUGGUGUACGACGCGCUUGGGCAGGGCGGAGGUGCCGUCGUGGGUCCAACUGCUCACCAUCGCCUACUACUCCUCGUCACCGCCGCACAGAUGCAGCAGCUCCCCACCGCCGCACAGAUCCGGCAGCUCCUCACCUCCACAGUUCCUCUUCCCGCAGCUCCUCCGACUCCAGCAGCUCCUCCGGUGGUAAAAAUCGAAUCUUGGGACGACGAACCAGGGAUGACGCGAGAGAAAGAGGGCAGCGGCGACGCGGUUAAGGGAGAUGCAGCGAAGCAGGCGAGGGAGAUGCGGCUGCUACGCGGGCGAGGGAGAUGCGCGGCGACGCGGGCGAGGGAGAUGCGGUGGGAGAGAGGCAGAGAGCGAUAG